rnacentral:rRNA from 1 species
ACGGGUGAGUAAUACAUCGGAACAUGUCCUGUAGUGGGGGAUAGCCCGGCGAAAGCCGGAUUAAUACCGCAUACGAUCUAUGGAUGAAAGCGGGGGACCUUCGGGCCUCGCGCUAUAGGGUUGGCCGAUGGCUGAUUAGCUAGUUGGUGGGGUAAAGGCCUACCAAGGCGACGAUCAGUAGCUGGUCUGAGAGGACGACCAGCCACACUGGGACUGAGACACGGCCCAGACUCCUACGGGAGGCAGCAGUGGGGAAUUUUGGACAAUGGGCGAAAGCCUGAUCCAGCAAUGCCGCGUGUGUGAAGAAGGCCUUCGGGUUGUAAAGCACUUUUGUCCGGAAAGAAAUCCUUGGCUCUAAUACAGUCGGGGGAUGACGGUACCGGAAGAAUAAGCACCGGCUAACUACGUGCCAGCAGCCGCGGUAAUACGUAGGGUGCAAGCGUUAAUCGGAAUUACUGGGCGUAAAGCGUGCGCAGGCGGUUUGCUAAGACCGAUGUGAAAUCCCCGGGCUCAACCUGGGAACUGCAUUGGUGACUGGCAGGCUAGAGUAUGGCAGAGGGGGGUAGAAUUCCACGUGUAGCAGUGA